rnacentral:rRNA from 1 species
UCCUACGGGAGGCAGCAGUGGGGAAUAUUGGACAAUGGGCGCAAGCCUGAUCCAGCCAUGCCGCGUGUGUGAAGAAGGCCUUUUGGUUGUAAAGCACUUUAAGCGAGGAGGAGGCUACUGAGAUUAAUACUCUUGGAUAGUGGACGUUACUCGCAGAAUAAGCACCGGCUAACUCUGUGCCAGCAGCCGCGGUAAUACAGAGGGUGCGAGCGUUAAUCGGAUUUACUGGGCGUAAAGCGUGCGUAGGCGGCUUUUUAAGUCGGAUGUGAAAUCCCUGAGCUUAACUUAGGAAUUGCAUUCGAUACUGGGAAGCUAGAGUAUGGGAGAGGAUGGUAGAAUUCCAGGUGUAGCGGUGAAAUGCGUAGAGAUCUGGAGGAAUACCGAUGGCGAAGGCAGCCAUCUGGCCUAAUACUGACGCUGUGGUACGAAAACAUGGGGAGCAAACAGGAUUAGAUACCCUGGUAGUCCAUGCCGUAAACGAUGUCUACUAGCCGUUGGGGCCUUUGAGGCUUUAGUGGCGCAGCUAACGCGAUAAGUAGACCGCCUGGGGAGUACGGUCGCAAGACUAAAACUCAAAUGUAUUGACGGGGGCCCGCACAAGCGGUGGAGCAUGUGGUUUAAUUCGAUGCAACGCGAAGAACCUUACCUGGUCUUGACAUAGUAAGAACUUUCCAGAGAUGGAUUGGUGCCUUCGGGAACUUACAUACAGGUGCUGCAUGGCUGUCGUCAGCUCGUGUCGUGAGAUGUUGGGUUAAGUCCCGCAACGAGCGCAACCCUUUUCCUUAUUUGCCAGCGGGUUAAGCCGGGAACUUUAAGGAUACUGCCAGUGACAAACUGGAGGAAGGUGGGGAUGACGUCAAGUCAUCAUGCCCCUUAUGUCCAGGGCUUCACGCAUGCUACAAUGGCUGGUACAGAGAGUGGCGAGCCUGUGAGGGUGAGCGAAUCUCGGAAAGCCGGUCUCAGUUCGGAUUGGGGUCUGCAACUCGACCUCAUGAAGUCGGAGUCGCUAGUAAUCGCAGAUCA